rnacentral:rRNA from 1 species
GACGGAAGGUGCAAGCGUUGCUCGGAAUUACUGGGAGUAAAGGGCUCGUAGGCGGCCAACUAAGUCAGACGUGAAAUCCCUCGGCUUAACCGGGGAACUGCAUCUGAUACUGGAUGGCUUGAGUUCGGGAGAGGGAUGCGGAAUUCCAGGUGUAGCGGUGAAAUGCGUAGAUAUCUGGAGGAACACCGGUGGCGAAGGCGGCAUCCUGGACCGACACUGACGCUGAGGAGCGAAAGCCAGGGGAGCAAACGGG